rnacentral:rRNA from 1 species
UACAGAGGGUGCGAGCGUUGUCCGGAAUCACUGGGCGUAAAGGGCGCGUAGGCGGUCCGCUAAGUGUGUGGUGAAAGCUCGGGGCUUAACCCCGGAAUUGCACCUCAAACUACAUGGCUAGAGCAUUGGAGAGGGUAGCAGAAUUCACGGUGUAGCAGUGAAAUGCGUAGAUAUCGUGAGGAAUACCAGAGGCGAAGGCGGCUACCUGGACAAUUGCUGACGCUCAGGCACGAAAGCGUGGGGAGCAAAAGGG